rnacentral:lncRNA from 1 species
GGCUCCUCAACCUCAACCUCAACCUCAACCUCAUCUCUAUCCAUCUCUCUCUUCCCUCUCACUCAGUUGCCGUCCAAGACUUCUCCUCUUUGCUCCAUUCCGCACGCCUGCAGCAACCAAGAGGCCAGCGGAAGCAGAAGUAGCCAGAAACGCCAGGAACACCGCACGCCCAUCCACUGACUCCUCCUGUGCACGUCUCCACCUUACUCUUCAUUUCCCUGGAACUCCUUCCAAGCAACCCAGCGAAGACUCCAUCUUCAUCCACUGAGACAGCCCAUCUCCACCGAGCUUCUCUCCACCAAAGAACCCCGCCGAAGUCAGCUCUUAUCUCCCACAGAAGUCGUAGUUGACCGAAGCCAGCACCCUCUUCUCCACGUGUCCACCUCCUCCUCGCCUCGGUCAACCAGCAAAGCCACUCUCGUCUGUCUCUGCCUCCACCAAAAUUGGUCGGCCACCGAAGCAACUUCAUUUUCAUCCCACUGAGGCAGCUGCCACGAAGACCAAAGCAAGCCAGCGUCUAAUUUUCCUGCAACUACUUCAUGCGGCCUUGAAAUUCUGCUGCCAUGCGUCCGUAAUUCAACACCGGUCAACAACUUCACUUGUUGGUUGACUUUGCUGCCCCGUGUCUUCAACUGAGCAAGCUCAGUCCACGCAGCUCUCCCCCAAAGACUUGCGGUUUUGUUGAUUGAGCAACAUCCACCGAAAUCCAGCCGCGAGAUCCAGCUGCCAGCUCGCCCUCACUUCUCCCAUCUCUGCCGCUCGAUCAGUCAACCUUCCACAUCGUCGACCGAGUGCAGCUCCUCCAGCAAAGUCGACCGAAGCCUUCUCUCCCUCUCUUGCUGCCACUGAUCGACGCCAGCUACUUCCUCGUGUCUUCACCUGCUGCAGCAAAUCCACCGAAGUCUCUCUCUUUCGUGGACCUCUCUGCCUCGCCGGAGUUGCCCCAAAUUGAAGUUCACGAACCAGGAGCUUCUUCAAUCUCGCGGGCCCAACAUUUUUGUGGAUCGGUCCAAGAAGCACCCCAGCAAUUAAUUUAAUUGAAGCCCACACAAUUUCAACCCAAUUUCAACUCAGUCCAGCCCUUGUGGAUUAGCCCAUCAGCCCGCGAAAAUUUCAGAAGCCCAGAUCAAGCUCAGCCCAAGAAUUUCAGUAGGCCCAAGCCCAAAAUUUCUGUGGGCUUGCAAAGUUUCUUGGCCCGCCCCGAGUAUCUGCCGACCCCACCAAACAUUUGGAAUUCGGCUGCCGUCGCAUCGUUAUUGUGGUGUCCCGGUCCCCAUUUUUAAUCAAGUGAGUUUUACUCACUAAUGGUUUCUUAGUUUGCUAAUUAUGCUUAGGGGUUGGUUAGAUUUAAUUACGUGCACUUAGGUGGUUAGAUUAGGUUAGAAAAAUUAAAUUAGUGACUUAAUGAUGCUUGUUAGGUGGUUAGACUUAGUCAUUAGCAAGUAGAGAUGUACUAAUAUUUAUUAAAUGCAUCUUGAGAUUUUUCCCGACCCGUUUUGGGCUCCAAUUAGGCAAUAUUAGUCUAAAUUGGAUUUUUAAUAUUUAUUUAUUUAAUUUUCGAAAUUAAUUAUUUAAUUAAUUAUUUUUCCGUAAAUUCAACCGAGACGGCUGGUGAUCGGAAUUUCGUGCUAAUUGUCAUGGUGCAGACCAUUUACUAAAUUGAGCUUUAAUUUAUAUGGAAUUGAUUUAAAUUGUGAAAUUUGAGGAUUUGUCCUUAAUUAUUUGUUAUUGAGUAUUUGAUUAGUAGAUGGCCGAGUGUGGGUAUAUAGCGCCAAUUAUGUUGAUGGGCUAUAUAGUAGAGGGAAUGGUGAGAGCUAACUAAGAAUAUUAUUGGCUGAAACUAAUCAGGUACGAUGUUUUUGGACAUACGUGUUACGGUGAUUGGGAGUGUCACUGGCGAAAACGGCGUCUUAAAGAACGCACGUGAAUGACUUAUAGACAAACGUGGUUCGGUGAUUAAGGAAAUAUUAUUAGUAAAAACGACGCCUUAAAGAACUCACGAUAUUGUCUAUUGCUGAUGUCACCUUGGCGAAAAUAGCGCCCUAGAAAGGACAUGUGGUUCGGUGAUCGAUGAUAUCACUGGUUAAAAUGGUGCCAUAAAGAGCGCACGGUGUCGGUGAUCGGUAUGUCAUUGGCGAAAAUAAUGCCUGAGAAACACAUGUGAUUUGGUGAAUGAGUACACCAUCUGGGAAUCAUGGUAUGAGUGGGAAUGACUUAGAGAUGGUCUGAUUGACAUGUAAUCAACAAAGUCGAUUGAUCAGCGAUUUGAUCUGUUAUUGUGAAUUGAUUGAAUGUUUGAUGUGAUAAAUGAAGCAACUGCGUUUAACCUUGAAUUGCAGGUUGGAAAUGAGGCCAAAGUAAGUCAUCUGACUUGUGUUGUGCUUAGGCCACCAUAUGGCGUAUUGGUUUACUAAUCGGGUCUUAGAGGGUAGAACUCAUUGAGACGUGGUCUCAUUGGUUAUUGAAUAACCAUUUCAGGUCUGUAGAGGGACAUGAGGAGGAUUAUCUGUUGGAUGACCCUGAUGACGAGCCAGCAGAGGAUGGAGAGCUUGAAGAAAACGAACUUAGUGAAGAAGAGUCUCAAGAGGAUUAGGAUAAUGAUCCCGAGUUUGACCUAGAUGAGGACUGAGAUCCCAUCCCGUUAUGUGAACCUUGUGUACUUGUGGAUAGUAUUGUAAGACCUAUGUUAAUAGUAUUGUAAGAUAUUGUGAGGUGUGUGUGUAUAAAAGUGUGGUUGUGAAUUUUAAUAUGAAAAAUAUGACAUGCUUUUCUAUCUCAUUGUUUUAUUGUCUGG